UCCGCGACGCUGGCGGCGGCGGGGAGGGCACGGGCUCCGGGUGCCGGCCCGGGCCGCCUUGGUGCGGCCUGCGCUCCCCACCCACGGGGCCGUCUCGCACUCUCCUCUUCCCGUGACCGCUCCUCCACGCCCACCCCAGGCACCAUGUCCCCGGCCGCCUCCUUGGUUCCUGGGCAACGCGGGUUCCAGACAGAGCACAAAGCGGAGUCCAUUCUGGGCGAGCGGGGCUUGCCCGUGGGAGGCACACGCCUUCUGGCCGGCGCAGGCCUGGCGGUCAGGAAGUUGGACCCUGGAAUCGGAUUGCUGGCUCCGUAGCUAACUUCCAUUGCAUGUGGUCCAGGACCUCCAAGCAAAUUCUCUCUCUCGUGUUGCCGUUCCCACGGUUGUGUAAAUGACACCCACUCGUGAAGCUGUUGUGAAGAUUAAUUCAGAAAGUGUGUUAGCAAAGCAUGUAGUGCAAUGCCCGGCGCAUCACAGCCCCAUGAAGUGGUUUAAAUAGUCCCGAUUUUCAUGAAAACAACGAAGUUCAGAGAGUCUGAGAAUUGGCCAGCAUAUGUUGGGAUGAAGAUUUGAACCUGUGUCGGACCCCAGUACUCAAGCUUACAACCAGUACGCAAGACUCCCAAAGCCUCCCAUCUCUGCCACCUGAGCCUGCAGAGCUCCGUGUGAUCCACCAUCCAGGCCAGCAGCUCUUGAAUCACCAGUCCACAAAGUCUUGUUGGCGGAUCUUGUCCAUGGCGAUACUGUAGUCACUGAUGAAAGUCCCCUCGGCAUACCUGCGGCCUCGAGGUGUAGAGCCUCUGACCUUCGCGUGGACUCUGAGGGGCAGGGAGGGGAGAGAAACCAGGGUGCCGUGAAGGGGCAGGGUUGAGGGGGUUCACCAUCCCGGCAUACAUGACUGUCGCUGACAGGAGGCCAACAUGUAAAAAUGAACCAGCCCAUUUCCGGGGAGUCCGUUUCUGUGGAGACACCCUCUUGGCUCUGCGUUGAGCCCCUUGGACUUUAUUUCCAGCUGAAAGGCCCGCUUCCUGCUUCGUUAGUGUGUGUGGCUCUGGCUUCUGGGCGAAGAGGGAUCAGAGGGCCCCUGAUCCCCAAGGACUGGCUCCCAGUGCCUCCCUUGACUCCUCUCGCCCUGGCCACACCUGGUUUAGGCCUUUGGUUCCCAGUCACUACUGAUAGUAGUGAGCUCUUAUGCAUGAGGCAGGGCCUCGAAUAGCCCUUUAAUACAUACUCUCAUUCAGUCCUCACAACACCCCUAGCAGGCAGACGCUAGCCAUACCCCCUUUUUGUGAAUGAGGACACCAGGGAGCAGAGAGCAUAGGCGGCAGAUCCAGGGUCCGCCCCAGGCGGUCUGGGCCCAGGCCUGCGUUCAUAGCUUCUGCGUGACGUCUCUCCUGGUACAUGUCUCUGACAGCCGUGCCUCAGAUUUACAUCACUGGAUUUCCGUGAGCAUGGAGCUGUCCUUGCACCCAAGAACGCCCAACUCUUUCCUGAGAUAGGUCUCUCUUGGUCCCCAAAACACAGAGCCCCCCGCUGUGCUCAUGCCUCGCACUCUCUGCUUUUCCUCACAGAACUCACGACAGUUUGCAGCUCGCCUCGGUGGUUCUUUGUCUGUUUUCCCUUUGGCCCUGUGCGCCGUGAGGGCGGGAGGACUUUGUGGACCACUCUGCACAUAUAUCUCCUGCAC